CAUCUCCUUUUGAUUUUUAUUUAAGGUUUAAUCUGCUCAAUGAAUAUUAAAUUGCCGCGGUAUUUUGACCGUGCAAAGGUAGCAUAAUAAUUAGUUUCUUGAUUAGAAGCUUGAAUGAAUGAUUGGACGAGAAAAUUACUGUCUCUUUUUAAUUUGUUUUUGAAUUUUAUUUUUAAGUAAAAAAGCUUAAAUUUUAAUAAAAGACGAGAAGACCCUAUAGAGUUUUAUAUUUAAGGUUUAUUUAGUAUUAGAAAUUUUUUUAAAUUUUACUUAUUUAGUUGGGGUGACUGGAGGAUUUAGAUAAUUCCUCUUUUUGUUAAUUGAUGAUUGUUAAAUUGGUUAUCUGAUUUUUUCAAAUAAAAAAUAAAUUACCUUAGGGAUAACAGCGUAAUUUUUCUUUAGAGUUCUUAUUGAAAGAAGAUUUUGCGACCUCGAUGUUGGAUUAAAAUAAAUUUUUGGUGUAGAAGCUAAAAAAUUGGGUCUGUUCGACCUUUAAUAUU
rnacentral:rRNA from 1 species